rnacentral:lncRNA from 1 species
UGCGGUAUUUCUGCCUUUAAGGGAUAUUAUUUAUCAGUCUCCUCUGCUCUUCCAUUUCCUCAUUCCUCCUCAUCUAGUACUUUUCUCUUUUAUCACACUGAAAUCCAUCACUUACUUCCACCAACCGCUUGGCUAUCCAUCGGCUGUGCUACUCUGGGCUUUCCUUCUUCUGUUCCUUCUACUCUGACUGCAAGUCCUCUAAUUUUCCCUGCUGACCACUGUCUGAGCUACUUCACCCUGCAGUGACUCCACACUUCGUUAGCCCCUGCCCUCCGUGGCAAAGCUCAACCUCCUGGCUUCUCUCAUCCUUUCAGCCUCUCUCAUCCUCUGGCUGUUCCUUUGGCUGUUCUAGUUUUCUUUUAGCUGUCUCAUGUCUUUGUCUUUAUUGUUCUACACUCCACACCAUCUGUUGUGCUGCUGCGAGCAUGACUCACCCUGAAAACAAUAAAAAUCCUACUACAUCCCCCAAGCACUACACUAGGGAGCCGACGAAGGCACUCCUGUAUCCAAAAUCUACAUCAACAGCAGACAAGCCAAGGUCCUCAUGGAAUUCAGGCUUUGGUUCACCACUGGAUGGCAGUCCCUGCAAUGCUAUUCACUCUGGGAAGGAAAGUCUGGUUUUAGAAGUACACUACUGAAAGUACAUGCUGCUUUGUACGUGAAUAUGAAAUGUUACAGAGGUCAGUCACCUGAAGGCUUAAAUGGCAAGUCCCUUUAUGGCCCAAUGUGCGUCCUCGACGAUUUCAGAAAGAUCCAGCACCAUCUCAGCCCAACAGGGACCUGACUUCGAAUUGCUCCUGUUCAAAUUGAGGACAGACUCUGGAACCUGCAGGAGCAUUUUGGGAGAGCUUCACUUUGGAUAACAGCAUUUUGUGGUCUCUGAGGUUCUAUCAGUGUUGCUCUGGCAGUUUACAUUCAGGUAAAACUGAGUAUGGAAAUGAUAAAGCU